CAGUGUUGCUCCCCCGUCGGCUACCCCCCACCAAACACCUCGCAGCGGGCAUCCUCCAUGCCCUAGAGGCGUCCGCCCUCACUGACACCGCCGUCCGGAGCAACGAAAGGCUGGGCCUGGUAGCCCUCUUAGUUUGCCCCAUCUGCGCCUCCCUCCCUGCCUUGAUGCACUAGCAGUGGGCGACGGAGCAAGCAACGGCAGAAGGAGAAAGAGGACCCUGCUCAGCCGCCUCAAAUUACAAGGACAAGGAGCUACUGCUGCUUCCCCUGACCUCGUCCCCGGCCUCGGAUGCGCCGCUGGUCGGCGCUUGCCGCGCGCAGCGAGAUCGCCAUCCCCGUCUCAGUUCGAUUGCUUUAAAAAUGGUGGAUGGACAAAAGAUAUUCGCGAAGUUGUAAAUCAUCUUAUCAAAGGUCAAGUAUCUUAUUGACGAGGGUGAGAGCACUCCUGUGGCUAGUGCUGCAUCUAUUUGUUGAACUUGGGAUCUGCUGGAAGUGGUUCGGUGGCAUCUGCUCAACAAGAGGCGUUGCUGAUGUCCCUUGGAGAGUACCGUGUCGUGUGCACUUGGCUACCCCGUGGUCCCUUACUUUGACGCCUCUGCACUUGGCUGCUCGCUGGAGCCCUCAUGCCAGUAACACCGCCAUGAGGUCCUACUAUCGACACAAACCCCGAGACUGGCCCAACCGUAAGAUGAAUGUUUACAAGUGGCAAAACUCUGAUGUUUUCCUUUUACUUAAGUUCCUACUCCACGGACAGCUCAAGUUAGUU